CGCUCUUCAAGGAGGAGGAAACAAGCGUGCAAGAGACAUUUAUCUUAAAGAAUGGGAUGCACAGCGUCAGUCUGCCCCUGAUGGCAGUAAUGUUGACAGGCUUCGAGACUAUAUUAAACAUGUGUAUGUGGAUAGAAGAUACACUGGUGAGAGGAACUAUGGAAAACCUCCAAGUGUAAAGUUGGGUGACAAAGAGGACUCAUACCAAGGAGGGUCUCGAAGUCCACCAUAUGACGAUACAUAUGAGCGCCGCUACAGUGGAAUGUCCAGUCCUGGUGGACGAAGUGAUGAUAGGAAUUCUAGAUAUGCAUAUGAUGAAAGAAGAAGUCCUGGAUAUGAUCAAGAAAGUCGACAGUAUAAUGAUUACAGGAGAAGUCCUGCUCGUGCUGAGAUAGUUAAUGAUUGGCGAAGGGAGGAUAGAUUUGGAAAUGGAAAGAGAGCUGACGACCGUAGAGUAUCUGAAGGAGACUCAAAGCUGGAAAGCAGGUCACCUGAACCGCCGAAAGAUCCAGAGGUUUCUAGUCCCCCUGUUGUACGCCCUGUUAGAGAAAUUUUGGGAGAUAAUGUGAUGCCUCUUCGUAUAAGUGAACCUCCCAAAACCAAUGUUGUAAGGGCUGCUGAUGGCUCUGCACAGACACAGGGAAAUGCAUCUGCUAGCAGCUUAGGUUCCACCAAUGGGAAUCUGACGGAAGUUAAAGCGGAGAGUACUGCAAGCUUAAUUGAUUUUGAUGCUGAUCCAGAACCACCUGUUACCACUGCAGUUCCUCAAGCACAACAAACAAUUGUGUCUCAAUCAAUUACACAACCUGCAAGUACAACAAGUGAUAACAAUUGGGCUUCUUUUGAUUUUGCACCUGAGGUUAAGGUAUCUCAAGAAAAUGCGAAUCCACUGGAAUCUGUUAUCUCACAAUUGGUGCUGCCAGCAUCAGUACCUGGUCAAAUAUCUGGAAUGUCAAGCGUUUCUGGUGCUCCAGUAGCUGCAUCUUUAGGCAAUGUAUCAAAUUUACCAAAUGCAACUGCUUCUUCUGCUGUGUCAGCUGGGAAUGCACCUAUAUUGCCUCUCAAUACUGGUGCUACAAUUUUUCAUCCUGGUGGUGUUUCAGUGGCUGCCCCUGGUUUGGCAGCUGUAAUGCCUGUCAAUGGUGGUCCUUCCUUUGUCAAAGUUAAUGAAACAGGCCAAUGGCCUAGAGUGCAGCAUCAGCAACCUUUUCUAUUCCCUGCUUCUAGUGUUCAGUCUACUUCUCAACAAUUUAAACCACCACUUGAUGGCACUUCAGCUAAUCAGUCAUGGAAUUUAUCAGUGGCCCCUAAUAUGCAAGCGGCUUUGAGUAAACCAUCUGUUGGAGCCCCUCGAGUCAUCUCUACACCUUCCUUAGUGGUUGCUUCUGCUGGUGUAUCACAGCCACCAGCUGUGGAAGUCAAAUCAAGCGGAAGAAAAGAACUGCCUGAGGAUCUUUUUGCUGCAACCUAUCCAUCUUUCCAUGCAGCUGUUCCAGGGUGGCAAACUGGUCCUCCCCGUGGUAUGGGGUUCGCUAUGCGAUAUAGUAAUGCUGCAGUGCCGAUGCCUACUUUGAUUCAGCAAUCCAAGUCAACAAACCCAUUUGAUCUCAAUGAGCCAUCUUCAAUGCAAGUUCAUACUUUUCCUUCCAUGGCAUCCUUGCGAGGUGCUCUCCCAAAUAUGCCACCAUCUUCAGGCUUACAGCGCACCUCUAGUCUUGGUGCUCCAUCAUCAGCAUGGAUGCCUUCUCAGUCAUUGCCUUACCCAUCAGCUCUGCCUCCCCAGCCACCGUCUUAUGCAUCAGCUAUGCCUCCAAGGGCAUACAUGGGACAAGUAUCAAGUAACAUGCCAAUUUCUGGGCUGCAAG
rnacentral:misc_RNA from 1 species